rnacentral:rRNA from 1 species
GACGAACGCUGGCGGCGUGCCUAACACAUGCAAGUCGAACGAGGUCCAUCCUUCGGGAGAAGACCUAGUGGCGAACGGGUGAGUAACACGUGAAGAACCUGCCCCGAAGACCGGGAUAACCCUCCGAAAGGAGAGCUAAUACCGGAUACCCCCACCGAACCGCAUGGUUUGGUGAGGAAAUGGAUUCCGCUUCGGGAGGGCUUCGCGGCCUAUCAGCUAGUUGGUGGGGUAACGGCCCACCAAGGCAUCGACGGGUAGCUGGUCUGAGAGGACGAUCAGCCACACUGGGACUGAGACACGGCCCAGACUCCUACGGGAGGCAGCAGUGGGGAAGUCUUGCGCAAUGGGCGAAAGCCUGACGCAGCAACGCCGCGUGGGGGAUGAAGGCUCUCGGGUUGUAAACCCCUUUCAGCAGGGACGAAUCAAGACGGUACCUGCAGAAGAAGCCCCGGCUAACUACGUGCCAGCAGCCGCGGUAAU